UAGAGUCCCUUUAAAUGGUUAUACAAUAUUUAUUGCAUCUAUAGACUGAGCUUUGGUCUUUGUAUAGUGAGCCAGUCUAUACAUGCAGUAAAUGAUGUUGGCUCUGAUCUAAUGUCAACUGC
rnacentral:precursor_RNA from 15 species